rnacentral:rRNA from 1 species
GACGAACGCUGGCGGCGUGCUUAACACAUGCAAGUUGUACGACAGCAUUGUCUUUGGAUGGUGUUUGGAGUGGCGAACGGGUGAGUAACACGUGAGUAACCUGCCCUCUUCUUUGGGAUAACGUGCGGAAACGUGCGCUAAUACUGAAUAUUCUCGCUUUGCUGCAUGGUGGGGUGGGGAAAGGACCUUAUGGGUUUGGUGGGGGAUGGGCUCGCGGCCUAUCAGUUUGUUGGUGGGGUGAUGGCCUACCAAGGCGU